UCUGACCUCAUCUUCCCUCAAAGAAAGCCCUGGAGGUUGCAUAUCACCAGGAUCUCAGGAAAAGACACCCAUAAAAGAUCAUGAUGGAGAACCUACUGAAAUCUGGGAUUCCUUGAUAUCAAAUGAAAAUGAAGGAAGUUCCAUUUUGGUGAACUGUGUUACUCCUGAACUUGAGCAGCCCAAGGAAGGUCAGGUGGCAGCUGACAACCUUGAGGAAGAAAGAGAGAAGGGUGGAUUUACAGAGGAUGACCUCACCACUGACCCAUUGCUCUCCACGUCCCCGAGUGUCAUAACGCCCACUGAGCCAGCAGAGCCGGCCAAGAAAACAAAUGAAGUCAAAACCACAAAGAAUAAAAAGACAACGAAUAACAGAGUGUCCAGUGCCUCUGGCAGGCUGAUGACCUCUGAGUUUUUAAAGAGAUCAGGUCCCACCAAAAGAAGUCCAUCUGCAGCUACCUCCUCUCACUAUUUAGGGAGUUUGAAAGUCUUGGACCAGAAGCCACCACGGAAGCAGAGCCUAGAGCCAGACAAGGCUGAUCACAUAAGGGCAGCGGUUUAUCAGGAGUGGUUAGAAAAGAAAAAUGUGUAUUUACAUGAAAUGCACAGAAUAAAAAGAAUUGAAAGCGAAAACUUGAGGAUCCAAAAUGAACAGAAGAAAGCUGCUAAGAGAGAGGAAGCACUAGCGUCAUUUGAGGCCUGGAAGGCUAUGAAGGAAAAGGAAGCAAAGAAAAUAGCUGCAAAGAAGAGGCUGGAGGAGAAGAACAAAAAGAAGACAGAGGAGGAAAAUGCUGUGAGGAAAGGCGAGGCCCUGCAAGCAUUUGAGAAAUGGAAAGAGAAAAAGCUAGAAUACCUCAAAGAGAAGACCAGGAGGGAGAAAGAAUCUGAAAGAGCGAAGAAGCAGAAGGAGGAAGAAGCGGUCGCCGAGAAGAAGAAAGACAGUGUGACUGCCUUUGAGAGAUGGUAAUCCACCAUGCGCAUGCGCACUUCGGGAGUUUCGCGUUAAUGCUUGAGGCUUUCCUAGGGAUCAGUUACAGCUUACAGGUCUCCUCAUGCCUCUCAACCUCAUUGCUUUCAAAACUGCAGGAGGGCGUCACACGUGUAUACUCUCCUUUAACCUCCCAGAGUUUCAUGUUCUCUUGCACAGGAGCGAGAAAAAGGAAGCUCUCCUCAAGCAAAAGGAAAAGGAGAAAAUAAAUGAGAGAAG
rnacentral:lncRNA from 1 species